AAGAGAGUCAUAGGGCUUAUAGGAUUGGCUUGAAACCAGCUUUAGGAGGUUCAAUUCCUUCCUUUCUUG
rnacentral:tRNA from 1 species